GUGAUGAACAAUUUUCAGCUUUGCAUUCUUUUUCUUCCAUCCUAAAAUUUAGUAUAUGAUGCACAAUAUUUGGAAUUUUAUUUUUUUCAGGAUUUAUUGCUCAAGUAUCUUCUAUUCUUGACUCUCCUGCUACUCUUCUAGCUUUACAUUCUUCGGAGUAGCAUACAUUCACAUAGAUACUUGAUGUUAUAUUUGGAGGUAAUUCUUUCAAAGAAGCCAUCUAAUGUGUAAUUUGCUUUUCCUAUCCAUUGUUCAGGGCAUUGCGCUAAUCAUCACAGUU
rnacentral:misc_RNA from 1 species